GGGCAGUGACGAUUAGUUGCACAAAUUGUGAACAACGGGGGUUGUCACAGUCAUCUGAUAUAAGAUGAAAUAUUGUGCAUCUGAGCUC
rfam:Capsicum annuum cultivar Zunla-1 chromosome 1, whole genome shotgun sequence